GGACCUCAGUUUACCCACAGCACAGC
rnacentral:piRNA from 1 species